UACGGAUGGUGCAAGCGUUACUCGGAAUCACUGGGCGUAAAGGGUGCGUAGGCGGGUUAUCAAGUCUCGAGUGAAAUCCAACGGCUUAACCGUUGAACUGCUUGGGAAACUGGUAGCCUAGAGUGAGGGAGAGGCAGAUGGAAUUGGUGGUGUAGGGGUAAAAUCCGUAGAGAUCACCAGGAAUACCCAUUGCGAAGGCGAUCUGAUGGAACUCAACUGAAGCGGAGGCACGCAAGCGUGGGGAGCACACAGGAGGCGAUAACAGCGGAGUCC
rnacentral:rRNA from 1 species